rnacentral:rRNA from 1 species
AUGCACGCUGACAGAAUGCUUAACACCUGCAAGUCAACUUGAAUUUGGGUUUUUAACUUAGGUUUGGGUGGCGGACGGGUGAGUAACGCGUAAAGAACUUGCCUCACAGCUAGGGACAACAUUUGGAAACGAAUGCUAAUACCUAAUAUUAUGAUAAUAGGGCAUCCUAUAAUUAUGAAAGCUAUAAGCGCUGUGAGAGAGCUUUGCGUCCCAUUAGCUAGUUGGAGAGGUAACGGCUCACCAAGGCGAUGAUGGGUAGCCGGCCUGAGAGGGUGAUCGGCCACAAGGGGACUGAGACACGGCCCUUACUCCUACGGGGGGCAGCAGUGGGGAAUAUUGGACAAUGGACCGAGAGUCUGAUCCAGCAAUUCUGUGUGCACGAUGAAGUUUUUCGGAAUGUAAAGUGCUUUCAGUUGGGAAGAAACAAAUGACGGUACCAACAGAAGAAGUGACGGCUAAAUACGUG